rnacentral:rRNA from 1 species
UGAACGCUGGCGGCAUGCCUUACACAUGCAAGUCGAACGGUAACAGGUCUUCGGAUGCUGACGAGUGGCGAACGGGUGAGUAAUACAUCGGAACGUGCCCAGACGUUGGGGAUAACGAGGCGAAAGCUUUGCUAAUACCGCAUACGAUCUAAGGAUGAAAGCAGGGGACCGCCAGGCCUUGCGCGUUUGGAGCGGCCGAUGGCAGAUUAGGUAGUUGGUGGGAUAAAAGCUUACCAAGCCGACGAUCUGUAGCUGGUCUGAGAGGACGACCAGCCACACUGGGACUGAGACACGGCCCAGACUCCUACGGGAGGCAGCAGUGGGGAAUUUUGGACAAUGGGCGAAAGCCUGAUCCAGCAAUGCCGCGUGCAGGAUGAAGGCCUUCGGGUUGUAAACUGCUUUUGUACGGAACGAAAAGGCUCUGGCUAAUACCUGGGGCACAUGACGGUACCGUAAGAAUAAGCACCGGCUAACUACGUG